rnacentral:rRNA from 1 species
UACGUAGGAGGCAAGCGUUGUCCGGAAUUACUGGGCGUAAAGCGCGUGUAGGCGGUCUGAAUAGUCUGCUGUGAAAGCGCCUGGCUUAACCGGGCGAGGUCGGCGGAAACUCUCAGACUGGAGGCCGGUAGAGGGGGGUGGAAUUCCCGGUGUAGUGGUGAAAUGCGUAGAUAUCUGAAGGAACAUCAGUGGCGAAAGCGACUUCCUGGACCAAUACUGACGCUCAUGUGCGAAAGCGUGGGGAGCAAACAGG